rnacentral:rRNA from 1 species
CGAUGAUCCCCAGCUUGCUGGGGGGAUUAGUGGCGAACGGGAGAGUAACACGUGAGUAACCUGCCCUUGACUCUGGGAUAAGCCUGGGAAACUGGGUCUAAUACCGGAUACGACCCCCUGCCGCAUGGUGGGGGGUGGAAAGCCUUGUGCGGUUUUGGAUGGACUCGCGGCCUAUCAGCUUGUUGGUGGGGUAAUGGCCUACCAAGGCGACGACGGGUAGCCGGCCUGAGAGGGUGACCGGCCACACUGGGACUGAGACACGGCCCAGACUCCUACGGGAGGCAGCAGUGGGGAAUAUUGCACAAUGGGCGAAAGCCUGAUGCAGCGACGCCGCGUGAGGGAUGACGGCCUUCGGGUUGUAAACCUCUUUCAGUAGGGAAGAAGCCGCAAGGUGACGGUACCUGCAGAAGAAGCGCCGGCUAACUACGUGCCAGCAGCCGCGGUAAUACGUAGGGCGCAAGCGUUAUCCGGAAUUAUUGGGCGUAAAGAGCUCGUAGGCGGUUUGUCGCGUCUGCCGUGAAAGUCCGGGGCUCAACCCCGGUUCUGCGGUGGGUACGGGCAGACUAGAGUGAUGUAGGGGAGACUGGAAUUCCUGGUGUAGCGGUGAAAUGCGCAGAUAUCAGGAGGAACACCGAUGGCGAAGGCAGGUCUCUGGGCAUUAACUGACGCUGAGGAGCGAAAGCAUGGGGAGCGAACAGGAUUAGAUACCCUGGUAGUCCAUGCCGUAAACGUUGGGCACUAGGUGUGGGGGACAUUCCACGUUUUCCGCGCCGUAGCUAACGCAUUAAGUGCCCCGCCUGGAGAGUACGGCCGCAAGGCUAAAACUCAGAGGAAUUGACGGGGGCCCGCACAAGCGGCGGAGCAUGCGGAUUAAUUCGAUGCAACGCGAAGAAC